rfam:Pseudomonas sp. ABAC61 scaffold18_001, whole genome shotgun sequence.
GUCACAGGUGGUGCGGCACUCAAUCUUGAGCGCAGCGCCGAAUGCGCAGUACCUAACGAAGACGGUAAAAAG